AGUGAUUCCAGUCUUUUCGAUGUUGGUGUGGACGUCUGGACAACUUCCCAAGCUGACUUUGCAGCCUUGGUAAUGACAGGUAGCAUCGGAUCUAGAUGUAACUUCUUCCAGUUUGCCUGGAUCAUCUAGGAGAUGAAGAGAUACGGUAUCUGACAACAUAACUCGCAUUCCUUGUCUGCAGUCAGGAGCCAAUCGACGAGAGGAUCAUCUUCUUCAAGAGUUGACAUAGAAGGGAAUGGUUCUCCUUAAGGUUUCUUCCCUACGGACCUUGAUGGCAAUGGCUCCCCCCGAGGUUGAGGACUCUCCCCCUUCAAUGUCAGCACUGCUAUUAGUAUGGACUCUAAUAGAACCAAAUCCAAAACCGAAGAGCAGAUCCGACAAGGUGAAAGCUUUGGCAGUCAGAAGGAACUAAAGCAAAGGCGCUCCAACCGCCAAAAUAAAUGGAUGCACUGAUCACAAGGGGCAGUGUGAGAGCACUGCAGAGAGCUGGAGUAGUCCACAUGCAAGGUCCUGCACAGGUGCAAAACCCAGGAUUAUGAAUGUCUUAUGAAUCACGCUACAGAUCCUGUGUUUAUAGACCUGUGGGCAUAUCCAUACCAGAAUGGUGGUGUCAUUUUCACCCACUUACAAAAAAGACAUUUAAAAGAAUUAAUAGUUUUUAAUAUUAUGUAGCUUUUUGUUCAGUGGUUUGCAUGAAGUAAUAGAAAUAUUUUCCCUUGAUAAAGGUACUAUUGAAACUUGUUAGAAACUACCAAUCCUUGCAGCUGUCUUUUUAGUAUGUGAUUUCUGUGGUGUUUCACAGCUUUUUUGGUUUUGAUCCUGUGAGCAACUGGGCCACAGAUCCCCUACGUGGAUCAGUAGGUAGUAAAAAGGGUUUUGUUUAAAUCUGCAAGAUCCAGAUGUCUCAAACGGAAGAGCAACUCAGCCCUAUAUUAUUAAGUAGGGAUGUGCUGGAAUCCAAUUUGGAAGCUGAAUUGUGACACAAUCCCUUUAAAACCAAGAGCUUACCCAGCCCCUUUAAUGUGGAGGAGACCAGGUCUAUCCCUGCUCCUCCUUCAUUUGCUGCCAUUGUCCUACUUGCAGUGUUCCCCACAGCUAUCUGUGUGUGCCAGCGGCACCCUCCCGUAGCAGCACCCUCUCACGUAGCACUGCCUGACUCCACAGCUCUAGCCAGUUCACAACAAUAAAUACAAUAAAGUAAAAAUAGAACAAACUGUUAAAACAAAGAUUUAAAACAAUUUAAAACAUUCAAAAAUUACUAAAAGCCAGACCAAAAAAUACAUCUUAGAGGCUCUUUUAAAGGCUGAUAAAGAUGUUAAGCAACAAAUGUACUCUCUACUGGGAGUGCAUUCCACAGCCCAUGAGCAAAUACAAAGUCACCACCAGACAAGCUGGCAGCAUCCAGAGACAGACCUCUCUCGAAUUACAAUAGCCAAGCCUAGAGAUUACCAGAGAAUGCACCACUAUUCCGAGAUCAUUAACUUCAAAGAACAAACACAGCUGUCGUAUAACCGAAGUUGAUAGAAAGCACUCCUGGCCAUAGCCUCAACCUGAGAAACCAGAGUGAGGCCUGGGUCCAGAAGCUCUCUCAAGCUAUGGACCUGUUCCUUUGCGGGGGAGUGCAACUCCAUCCAGCUCUAUCAUGUACCUUGAAGUAUGACCCCUUAUCAUGAGUGCCUCCAUCUUGUUUGGAUAGAAGUACUAUUUGUCUGCUUUCCUCAUAGGACAAAAAAUCUGGAUUUGUUUAAAGCCUCAUGAAAAAUUAAGCCUUUGUACACAAUAUAAAAGCAACUUUAUUUGUUCGCCGCCCCAUAACAAAUUGUUCUCCUAGGUGGUUCACAAUAAAGUAACAAUAGAAUAAAACAGACAAUUAAAACACAUGUUGGAAGUCAUCUGAAAGGCCUUUGAGAAAUCCCAUGUAUAGAGGGCCGAGCUAAGUGUCAUAAAAUCAGACACCUGGUAUAUGUGUAAAAUAUGCAAAAGCUGAACAACUCAGAAAUAUUAAUAUUUAUUGUAUUAGUUCUAACAACCAAACAGACUGACUUUAAUUGUGCUGAAUUUAAUUGAAUUAGUUCUGCAGACUGGAUAAACUGAUCUACUUAUAAAGACAGAUAGAUUUGGCAAGUUCACAGUAGUACCAUCAUGUGACCAAUAUUCUAUAAUAGGGAUGUAUAUCCAAUUCUAGGUUGAUGUAUUUGACAUUGUGAUGUCCAAGAAAAGCAACAUGUCUAAAUUAGUUGACAUUAUGAGGGUUCAUUAAAGGCAACAGGUCCUACAGUAUCUAUGCAUCUAUUAUAUUUAUAUCUCACCUGUCUUGCAUCAUGAAGCUCAGAAAAGCAUACGAGUCACACAUCUAGUCAAUGACCAGACCUGUGUCUGCUUAUCUUCAGCAAGGUGGCUGUAUCAUGCACCCUCAGAACAUGCCCUGGGCUCAAAUAAAUAACUUUAUCUUGAUAGCACAACUUUACCUUUAUGGUUACUCUUACCUAUAUUCAUACGCUCAGCUUGUUCGUUAAUGCUAGCUAGCUUAUCGGCAUAAACAUCUUUAUAACCAUUAAUAAAAGAGAGAUAAG